AGGAACCAGUCCCAACAGGAAGCCUGCCUGCCUCGCAGGUCGCGCUGCGGGAAGCAGCAGUGUCACGACUCACUGCUCUGAGCUGCGUGUGCCCAGCAGACCCACCAUCCUGACCACUGCCUGUGUGAACACAUCUCCUGAGCACAGUAUGGCACUAUGGUAUGAUUCUUUCUGUGCUAAUUUCUGAAAUACAAGAAAUCCUAAACUGAGGAACCAAUGCAUGGUGAUUUGACAAGGGAGAAGGGAUAUGCUAAUGCAAAGCUUAAACAGGACGCCUGUGUCCCCAGAAAAAUAAGCCUAUCUGCAUUGGCCAGCCCUCAGAUCCAGGAGGCAUCGCAAAAGGAUCUGCAUCAACCUAU